rnacentral:tRNA from 1 species
GGGGAUUUAGCUCAGUGGUAGAGUGCUUGCUUAGCAAGCGCAAGGCCCUGGGUUCGAUCCCCAGCUCCG